rnacentral:rRNA from 1 species
UACAGAGGUCUCAAGCGUUGUUCGGAUUCAUUGGGCGUAAAGGGUGCGUAGGCGGCGCUGUAAGUCGGGUGUGAAAUUUCGGAGCUUAACUCCGAAACUGCAUUCGAUACUGCGGUGCUUGAGGACUGGAGAGGAGACUGGAAUUCAUGGUGUAGCAGUGAAAUGCGUAGAGAUCAUGAGGAAGACCAGUGGCGAAGGCGGGUCUCUGGACAGUUCCUGACACUGAGGCACGAAGGCCAGGGGAGCAAACGGG